AUGGUAAGGAUAGAGGCCUACCAUGGUGGUAACGGGUAACGGGGUGUUAGGGCACGACACCGGAGAGGGAGCCUGAGAAACGGCUACCACAUCCNAGGAAGGCAGCAGGCGCGCAAAUUACCCAAUCCCGACACGGGGAGGUAGUGACAAUAAAUAACAAUACAGGGUUCUUUGAAUCUUGUAAUUGGAAUGAGUACAAUUUAAAUCUCUUAACGAGGAACAAUUGGAGGGCAAGUCUGGUGCCAGCAGCCGCGGUAAUUCCAGCUCCAAUAGCGUAUAUNAAAGUUGUUGCAGUUAAAAAGCUCGUAGUUGAAUUUCGGGAUCAAUACGUCGGUCGUGCUUUCGGGUACGUACUGGCGUCAUUGGUUUCUCCUUUCUGACGAACCAUGAUGUCAUUAAUUUGGUGUUAUGGGGAGUUAGGACUGUUACUUUGAAAAAAUUAGAGUGUUUAAAGCAGGCAUUAGCUUGAAUACAUUAGCAUGGAAUAAUGAAAUAGGACGUUCGAUCCUAUNUUGUUGGUUUCUAGGAUCAACGUAAUGAUUAAUAGGGAUAGUUGGGGGCAUUAGUAUUCAAUUGUCAGAGGUGAAAUUCUUGGAUUUAUUGAAGACUAACUACUGCGAAAGCAUUUGCCAAGGAUGUUUUCAUUAAUCAAGAACGAAAGUUAGGGGAUCGAAGGCGAUCAGAUACCGUCGUAGUCUUAACCAUAAACUAUGCCGACUAGGGAUCGGAUGAUGUUAAUUUUUUAAUGACUCAGUCGGCGCCUUACGGGAAACCAAAGUGUUUGGG
rnacentral:rRNA from 1 species